AUGCUUGCUUUGGCAGUACAUAUACUAAAAUUGGAACGAUACAGAGAUGAUUAGCAUGGCCCCAGCUCAAGGAUGAUACUCAAAUUCAUGAAGUGUUCCAUAUUUUU
rnacentral:snRNA from 1 species